UACGAAGGGGGCUAGCGUUGCUCGGAAUCACUGGGCGUAAAGGGUGCGUAGGCGGGUCUUUAAGUCAGGGGUGAAAUCCUGGAGCUCAACUCCAGAACUGCCUUUGAUACUGAAGAUCUUGAGUUCGGGAGAGGUGAGUGGAACUGCGAGUGUAGAGGUGAAAUUCGUAGAUAUUCGCAAGAACACCAGUGGCGAAGGCGGCUCACUGGCCCGAUACUGGACGCUGAGGCACGAAAGCGUGGGGAGCAAACAGGG
rnacentral:rRNA from 1 species